UAAAACAAGCAUGUUUCCAUACACAGAUUAUUGCAAGAGCAGAGUCUUUAGCCAAAGAAGCACCCCAGAGUCAAAUACAUGUGGAGAAGGUGUCUUUUCUCUUGAAAGUGCUGAUUUGAGUGUCAUGCCGCUGAAUGAGGCUCUUCAUGCUGCUGAAUACUGCUGAAUGCUGUUUUCACAAAAAAACAUGUUAGAAAAUGGACCAACAUCUGCAGCAUAGAUGGGGUUCUGCAAUUUUUUUGAAGAUCUCAGAAAUGGCUGGUGAGCAGAGACACGACCCCUCUUAAACAUCUUUUGUUUUCAGCAGUCUUGUGAUCUCCCAAGAACCAUCAUUUCCUCACUCUAGUGCAAGAUAAGAAACUGCAUUCCAGCCUCUCUGCUGGCUUGUCACAUGGCAAAGGCAACUCAAUCUACAUCUCAAUAUCUAACCUGAUCACAGGAACUGGGAAAUGAUGCAAGGGAUCCCUUGCCCUGCAAGCAAGACAGGCAGCUAGUCGUGCUGUGUCUGCUUUGUUGGGAUUUCCCAAAGCUGGGUCAUUUUCCUGCAAGGUCUCGUUUGUUUGGCUGAAGUAAUUUUUGCCUUUUUGGAAAAAAAAAAGAGUUGUUUUGAUUUCUUUUUAUUUUACCUUGUAUAUUUUUAGAGUUACUAAAUAUUGAGUCACACUUGUAAUCAUUCUUGCAGCUUUGGUCAUGGUAUAGCUCGCACUUGAUAUUUCAAACAUCACUUAGAUUGAGGCUUCAGUCUUUAUGCGGGGUCUCCUCUUGGUAUCUGCCUGACAGUCAUUUCUGAGCUCUGCGUGGUUUAUGAUACUGAAAGCUAACUAACACAGGAGCAAUAGUAGGAGGAUGUGAGGAAGUAUCAUGUUAAAAUAGCUGAUGUAUAAGAUCAUCCGUGUAGAAUAGUUUCCACAUUGUAUUGACUGCUUUCU